ensembl:ncRNA F17A2.15 ncRNA
UCGAACCAAUUCAUAUUUGAAAACGAAUGUUAUUAAAAUAGACAUGCCACUCAUAAAUGCGGAAGUCUGAGUAAAGAUUAAUU